UUGAAAAGAACUCUGAAUAGAGAGUUAAACAGUACGUGAAACUGCUUAGAGGUUAAGCCCGAUGAACCUGAAUAUCCGUUAUGGAAAAUUCAUCAUUAAAAUUGUAAUAUUUAAAUAAUAUUAUGAGAAUAGUGUGCAUUUUUUCCAUAUAAGGACAUUGUAAUCUAUUAGCAUAUACCAAAUUUAUCAUAAAAUAUAACUUAUAGUUUAUUCCAAUUAAAUUGCUUGCAUUUUAACACAGAAUAAAUGUUAUUAAUUUGAUAAAGUGCUGAUAGAUUUAUAUGAUUACAGUGCGUUAAUUUUUCGGAAUUAUAUAAUGGCAUAAUUAUCAUUGAUUUUUGUGUUUAUUAUAUGCACUUGUAUGAUUAACAAUGCGAAAGAUUCAGGAUACCUUCGGGACCCGUCUUGAAACACGGACCAAGGAGUCUAACAUAUGUGCAAGUUAUUGGGAUAUAAACCUAAUAGCGUAAUUAACUUGACUAAUAAUGGGAUUAGUUUUUUAGCUAUUUAUAGCUAAUUAACACAAUCCCGGGGCGUUCUAUAUAGUUAUGUAUAAUGUAUAUUUAUAUUAUUUAUGCCUCUAACUGGAACGUACCUUGAGCAUAUAUGCUGUGACCCGAAAGAUGGUGAACUAUACUUGAUCAGGUUGAAGUCAGGGGAAACCCUGAUGGAAGACCGAAACAGUUCUGACGUGCAAAUCGAUUGUCAGAAUUGAGUAUAGGGGCGAAAGACCAAUCGAACCAUCUAGUAGCUGGUUCCUUCCGAAGUUUCCCUCAGGAUAGCUGGUGCAUUUUAAUAUUAUAUAAAAUAAUCUUAUCUGGUAAAGCGAAUGAUUAGAGGCCUUAGGGUCGAAACGAUCUUAACCUAUUCUCAAACUUUAAAUGGGUAAGAACCUUAACUUUCUUGAUAUGAAGUUCAAGGUUAUGAUAUAAUGUGCCCAGUGGGCCACUUUUGGUAAGCAGAACUGGCGCUGUGGGAUGAACCAAACGUAAUGUUACGGUGCCCAAAUUAACAACUCAUGCAGAUACCAUGAAAGGCGUUGGUUGCUUAAAACAGCAGGACGGUGAUCAUGGAAGUCGAAAUCCGCUAAGGAGUGUGUAACAACUCACCUGCCGAAGCAACUAGCCCUUAAAAUGGAUGGCGCUUAAGUUGUAUACCUAUACAUUACCGCUAAAGUAGAUGAUUUAUAUUACUUGUGAUAUAAAUUUUGAAACUUUAGUGAGUAGGAAGGUACAAUGGUAUGCGUAGAAGUGUUUGGCGUAAGCCUGCAUGGAGCUGCCAUUGGUACAGAUCUUGGUGGUAGUAGCAAAUAAUCGAAUGAGACCUUGGAGGACUGAAGUGGAGAAGGGUUUCGUGUGAACAGUGGUUGAUCACGAGUUAGUCGGUCCUAAGUUCAAGGCGAAAGCCGAAAAUUUUCAAGUAAAACAAAAAUGCCUAACUAUAUAAACAAAGCGAAUUAUAAUACACUUGAAUAAUUUUGAACGAAAGGGAAUACGGUUCCAAUUCCGUAACCUGUUGAGUAUCCGUUUGUUAUUAAAUAUGGGCCUCGUGCUCAUCCUGGCAACAGGAACGACCAUAAAGAAGCCGUCGAGAGAUAUCGGAAGAGUUUUCUUUUCUGUUUUAUAGCCGUACUACCAUGGAAGUCUUUCGCAGAGAGAUAUGGUAGAUGGGCUAGAAGAGCAUGACAUAUACUGUUGUGUCGAUAUUUUCUCCUCGGACCUUGAAAAUUUAUGGUGGGGACACGCAAACUUCUCAACAGGCCGUACCAAUAUCCGCAGCUGGUCUCCAAGGUGAAGAGUCUCUAGUCGAUAGAAUAAUGUAGGUAAGGGAAGUCGGCAAAUUAGAUCCGUAACUUCGGGAUAAGGAUUGGCUCUGAAGAUUGAGAUAGUCGGGCUUGAUUGGGAAACAAUAACAUGGUUUAUGUGCUCGUUCUGGGUAAAUAGAGUUUCUAGCAUUUAUGUUAGUUACUUGUUCCCCGGAUAGUUUAGUUACGUAGCCAAUUGUGGAACUUUCUUGCUAAAAUUUUUAAGAAUACUAUUUGGGUUAAACCAAUUAGUUCUUAUUAAUUAUAACGAUUAUCAAUUAACAAUCAAUUCAGAACUGGCACGGACUUGGGGAAUCCGACUGUCUAAUUAAAACAAAGCAUUGUGAUGGCCCUAGCGGGUGUUGACACAAUGUGAUUUCUGCCCAGUGCUCUGAAUGUCAAAGUGAAGAAAUUCAAGUAAGCGCGGGUCAACGGCGGGAGUAACUAUGACUCUCUUAAGGGGAUCAUGGGGUAUUUGAGAGCAGAGGGGGAGUAUUCUUCUGUAAUUCGUAAGUCAUAUCAUAUGGUGUGCGGAAGGGGAAUUUUACUCUGUAACUCACAAGUCUCUCCUUUACUCAAGUCGACUCAAAACCUCCUCGUGGUGGUCCCCGGUAAUGCUAAACUCGUUUAGCAGCUAAUUUGAGCGGCAAAACUUUUCCGAUGGGCUGGUUCCCCAGAGGAAAUUUAUUCAUAUUGGAACUACAAGCACAAAUAACGAGCCUCGGAUACCUUUACACAAUCUGAUGACGACCCGACCCUCCGUGGAUAUCUUCCCGGAGGACCAAUAUGAACCAAACGCAGCGGCUACUCUAUCUAGGGUUCCCUGCACAGUAUGUGGCCGGUCCUUUAACAGCAAGAGAGGACUCGGUGUUCACAUGCGAUCUCGGCACCCAGACGAACUUGAUGAAGAACGUCGACGUGUCGAUAUAAAGGCAAGAUGGAGUGAUGAAGAGAAGUGGAUGAUGGCGAGAAAGGAGGUUGAGCUCACAGCAAAUGGAUGUAAACACAUAAACAAGCAACUAGCGGUGUAUUUUGCAAACCGCAGCGUCGAAGCCAUCAAA
rnacentral:rRNA from 1 species